rnacentral:rRNA from 1 species
UACGUAGGGUGCAAGCGUUGUCCGGAUUUAUGGGCGUAAAGAGCGUGUAGGCGGUUUGGUAGGUCCGCUGUGAAAACUCGAGGCUCACCUCGAGACGCCGGUGGAAACCAUCAGACUAGAGUCCGGAAGAGGAGAGUGGAAUUCCGUGGAUGUAGCGGUGAAAUGCGCAGAUAUCAGGAAGAACACCCGUGGCUAAGGCGGCUCUCUAGUACGGUACUGACGCUGAGACGCGAAAGCGUGGGGAGCGAACAGG